GACGAACGCUGGCGGCGUGCUUAACACAUGCAAGUCGUACGGUAAGGCCCUUUCGGGGGUACACGAGUGGCGAACGGGUGAGUAACACGUGAGUAACCUGCCCACAACUUUGGGAUAACGCUAGGAAACUGGUGCUAAUACUGGAUAUGUGCUCCUGCUGCAUGGUGGGGGUUGGAAAGCUCCGGCGGUUGUGGAUGGACUCGCGGCCUAUCAGCUUGUUGGUGGGGUAGUGGCCUACCAAGGCGGCGACGGGUAGCCGGCCUGAGAGGGUGACCGGCCACAUUGGGACUGAGGUACGGCCCAGGCUCCUACGGGAGGCAGCAGUGGGGAAUAUUGCACAAUGGGCGCAAGCCUGAUGCAGCAACGCCGCGUGCGGGAUGACGGCCUUCGGGUUGUAAACCGCUUUCAGCAGGGACGAAGCUUUUUGUGACGGUACCUGCAGAAGAAGCACCGGCUAACUACGUG
rnacentral:rRNA from 1 species